GACAGAGGGUGCAAACGUUGUUCGGAAUUACUGGGCGUAAAGCGCGUGUAGGUGGCCCGGCAAGUCGGAUGUGAAAGCCCUCGGCUCAACUGGGGAAGUGCAUCCGAAACUACCGGGCUCGAGUGUCGGAGAGGGAAGUGGAAUUCCCGGUGUAGAGGUGAAAUUCGUAGAUAUCGGGAGGAACACCAGUGGCGAAGGCGGCUUCCUGGACGAACACUGACACUGAGACGCGACAGCGUGGGGAGCAAACAGGAUUAGAUACCCUGGUAGUCCACGCCGUAAACGAUGGGUGCUAGGCGUCGCGGGUAUUGACCCCUGCGGUGCCGUAGCUAACGCAUUAAGCACCCCGCCUGGGGAGUACGGCCGCAAGGCUAAA
rnacentral:rRNA from 1 species